GAUGAACGCUGACAGAAUGCUUAACACAUGCAAGUCUUUGGCGAAGCUGUGCUUGCACAGCCUAGCCAAGGCGGACGGGUGAGUAACGCGUCAGGAACUUGCCCUGCAGUCAGGGAUAACAGACGGAAACGACUGAUAAGACCUGGUAAAGUCAGGCGGACUCAUGUCCAGCCUGAUGAAAAGAGAUGCUGCAGGAGAGCCUUGCGUCCUAUUAGCUUGUUGGUGGGGUAACGGCCCACCAAGGCGAUGAUAGGUAGCCGGCCUGAGAGGGUGGACGGCCACAAGGGGACUGAGAGACGGCCGUUACUCCUACGGGAGGCAGCAGUGGGGAAUAUUGGACAAUGGGGGCAACCCUGAUCCAGCAAUUCUGUGUGCACGAUGAAGGUUUUCGGAUUGUAAAGUGCUUUCAGCAGGGAAGAAAAAAAUGACGGUACCUGCAGAAGAAGCGACGGCUAAAUACGUG
rnacentral:rRNA from 1 species